ensembl:lncRNA novel transcript, antisense to P2RX7
GUGUCACCUGGGGAGGGCUGGGGAGGCCUCACAAUCAUGACAAAGGCAAGGAGGAGCAAAGCCACAUCUUACAUGGUGGCAGGCAAAACAAGAAUGAGAGCCAAGCAAGAGGAGAAACCCCUUAUAAAACCCUCAGAUCUCGUGAGACAUAUUCACUACCACGAGAACAAUAUGGGGGAAACCGCCCCCAUGAUUCAAUUCUCUCCCACCAGGUCCCUCCCACAACACAUGGGAAUUAUGGGAGCUAACAAUUCAAGAUGAGAUUUGGGUGGGGACACAGCCAAACCAUAUCAGGCCACUUGGCCAAUAAGUGACCAAGCCAGGAUUUGAACCAGGUGGUUUGUUUCCAGUGCCCAUCAUACCACUGGACUGAGAUAGGUGUGUAAGGGACAAAAACCAAGAUGAGUUCCUUGCCUCUGAGGGUCUUAUUGUUUUUGGGGGGAAAUAAAACAUAAAUACUCAUAACUUACCAGACUGGAAGGGCUUGCAUAAGAGCCCUGUUAGUUUUAUUUGACCCUUAUCCAAGCUUAAGUGCAGUGAUUGUUUGGUUAAAAUGGUAAGUCAGUGUCAGCCACUUCCUCCGAUUCCUGAAGCCUUAGGAUCAUGUGACCAUGAUAAUUCAUUAAAAUUAGCUAAGGAUGUUGGAAAUGCAAAAUCCUCUCCAUAGAUCAUCAUUUAUUUUGGAAAUAUGAUUCAUAGCCCUCAGGAAUGGAAAACAGGAAGCUGAAAAGUCACAGUAAAAGUGAAAGAAGAUAGGAAUUUCUAAUCUAUUCAAAAAAGAGAAGUUGAAUCAGGGGAUCCUCAGGGAUUCCUGAAUGAUGACUGCAUGGGAUUAGAACAUGGGUUGAGAAACAUACAAGCAGCAGAGGGUGAAACCCCACUCGGUGCAUUCCAGUGGGUAAUUUGAAUAAAUGGGGGUGGUGGUCAUGGUUCCUUAUUGCCUCUAGUAGGCAGGGCUUUGUGUAGACCAUGACUUUUGGUAGAAGCCAAACGAAGAUUAAUUUUUUAGGGCUGCUGGUUGGCCUGGAAUUAGGGUGUUUUUUUUUUUUGAGACAGCGUUUCGCUCUUGUUGCCCAGACUCCAUCUCAAAAAUAAAAAUAAAAAUAAAAAAAUUAAAAUUAAAUGUGAUCUUACCAGGUUCCUGCUUAGAACCCUUAUGUGGCUUAGGUCUUAGGAUACAGACAAACUCUACCAUGGCCCACAGGCUCCAGGCAGCCUAGCCCCUGCCUGCUUGUCCAACCGUAACUCAUGCCUUACUUCUCUGUACUUUUUAUGGCACAGUCAUACAGUUCUCCUUUAAGUUCUAUAAACCUGCUCUGCUUUUCCUGCCCCAGGACCUUUGCACAUACUGUUCUCUGCCUAGAAUGCUCUUUCCUCCCGCAUUCACUAGUUAAGUAAUACUCAUCCUUCAGAUUUUAGCUAAAACAUUCCUUCCUCAGGUAGGCUGAUCUCCCCAAAUAGGCCAAAUUUCCCUACUAUAAGCUCUCAUGCCAUCAUUUGCCUUUUCACCAUUAUACUCAGCACAAGUUGCAAGAUGCCAUUUGCUUGAAUUAUUUGAUUAAUUUCCAUCUCCUCAUAUCUCUAUGAGACUGGCUACCUUAUUUAUCCUUGGUCUCUAGAGAGUGCCUCAUUGAAUAGUUGUUGAGUGAAUGCGUCAAUGAAUGAGUUAACUGUGAUUUGGGGACCUUCUGAAAAGAAAGGAAAUGAAGAUUUAAAUAAAUUAUAUACCUUUUUUUAAUUAUCAAAACAGUCACAUUAAGGACACUUACAUUGCCAGGCUAAAAUCAGGAAGGGUUUAAAAAGUUACUCCCCUUUAGAAAGAGAAAUGCAUGUCUAUUACCAAUGCUAUGUGAAAUCAGCCAAGAGAAAGCAGAUCCCUUCUCUUCUGACACAGAAAGGAAGCCAUGAAUACUGGCAAUUACCGUAGCAGAAGUCUGUCUUUAAGUAUAAGAAAACAGAUCCUACAAAACGUGACUCUCAUCACCUUUGGCGGUGACAUUAUUUUCUACAGUAAACUAAAAAUAAUACAAAUAUGACGCCUGUUAUUGUAGGACGUGUCUGACAUAUUACACACAGUUGAAGUGACACAUCACUCUCUCGCCCAGAGCAUCAGUGGGGAAGGUGAUGGAAAACAGUAGAUGGAUCCAGUGAUUAUUUGUAAUUUCACAUUCUGACUCCAUCUGCGGCCUCAUUAAGGUGAUAGAAACAUACUAGGAAUAAGGCACCAAAAACAAAGGUACAAAGGCCCAGAAGCCAUCAGAAUGGAAACUUGUAACAGUGACAUAGAAUUCGUGAAGUAAAGAAAUGUAAGCUCCAAAGAAAUCAUAUGUAGUAAUCCACUUUUUAAAAUAUCUUUGAAAAGGUAGUAAAAAUCAAAGUUCAAUCUGGCAUAAUUAACUUGGUUCCUGAGUUUAAAGCCAAAUAAAACCCUGUAUCAAAAAAUGGUUUUAUUCAUGCUGUCUUACAUGAAUAUAGUAGAAAGCUGCUGGUUUUUAAAAGGUAUCAAAAUGGUAACUCUUAGAACAUAUAUAAAAAAAUUCACAGAUCCUUCAUCAGUCACAAUAUUUAAUAGUGGUCUCUAAACUAUUCGAUAAAAUAGCUAUUGUUUAGAAACAGAUAAAUAGCCAACUCUAGUGACCAAACCAGGAAAAGGAAAUCCUGAAGCAGGAUCCUAAAACCUGUCACUGUGCAUUUUCAUAUUCUCAGCAGUUGAUGUAUGGAAAUGGUAAAAGUGUGGUGUGGGUUGCUUUUGAAGCAGCUAGCACCCAGACUGCGUCAGUUCUGAUUGGCUGCAAAGUACAGAGUGUUAAUGGCAUAAAGCCAGCUUUUUAGUCACUUUCAGUCAUAGAAUUGUUUUGUUGUUGUUGUUGUUGUUUUUUGAGACAGAGUCUUGCUCUGUUAUCUAGGCUGGAGUGCAGUGGCACUAUCUCGGCUUAUUGCAACCUCCACCUUCCAGGUUCAAGAGAUUCUCCUGCCUCAGCCUCCCAAGUAGCUGGGAUUACAGGCGCCCACCGCCACACCCACCUAAUUUUUGUAUUCUUAGUAGAGACAGGGUCUCACCAUGUUGGCCAGGCUGGUCUCGAACUCCUGACCUCAGGUGAUCCACCCGCCUCAGCCUCCCAAAGUGCUGGGAUUACAGGCGUGAGCCACCACGCCCGGCCUUCAGUCAAAGAAUUGUGAUGAGGAUCGGAAUGCAUUGGGUAGCUCAGCAGUUAGAUUUGAUAGAUUCCAAGGCUGGUCUGGUGAGUUACCUGAUUUGGUCUAUAGCCCUUCUAGAACUGUCCAGUGGAAACCUAAGUUCCUGAGGCUCCCAGGGUUGGUCCGGGCUCCCUGAGAACAUUAGAACCAGGGAAGGUAUGGGCUGAGUCUGUGUGCCCAUUCAUCAGGCUUGCCCUCUGUUCCAGUUACCUGUUGCUGUGGAACAAAUAAGCCCCAAACUUAGGGACUUAAGAUAGCAAUGUGGUUUUCUGGAUUUAUGGGGCAGUUCUCACUUGGGAUGUAUCAUGCGGUAUCAGUCAUAUGUUAGUGGAGUCCAGAAUCACCUGAAGUCAGGAGUUUGAGACCAGCCUGGCCAACAU